AGAGACGGAUACCCCUGGGUAAAUUUUUGUGACCAGUUUUCGUCGGGCAAGUGGGCGCAGGUAGGCCUGGGAGCGUAGGAGGGUUCUGUUCUAUCGACUCUGCUUAAUAAAUUUCUCCCAACAUUCGUAGCAAAACAGUGAUUUAAUUGAAGUAUAGGUACCCGAGAGAAGAAUGUAUACAUAGAUCAUAAAUAAUAACAGAUCAGAAGCAACAAUGAUGCAGAGAUUAUAAAUUUUAUAAUUUUCGAAGAAACAAGCUAGAUCAUCUACAAUAAUACGGCUAUAAUAUGGAAAUAGAAGAAUCAUUCAUUUCGAAAUGGGAUUCUAUUCGACACGCGCUCGAUGUAUUCCAUAACAUUAAUAUUCAUAAUUAUUCCAACAACUUUUCAUUUGCUCUCUCGAUCUUGAAUUUUCGUAGACAUAGAAUCGAAACGCUGAUUUAGCUUAUCGCAAGUGAAGUACCUACAUUGGGUAGUGAAGCAGAAUUGUUUUCGAAAAGUGUUCAUAUCGAAAAAAAUUCAGAGUAACUGUAAUACAUAACGGAUGCGCUGAUUUUGAUCGAGAUGAAAUGGAUGCUCCGUAUAUAAGACAGUAUUUAACGCAGUGUCCUGACUUAAAGACCUCAAAAAGUGAUGGUCGGCGAUCUUUUUUUUCUGACAGCGAGAGAAAGAACGUAGCUUCUUAAAACUUCGAGUGUAUUUUCUGACAUACUUGAAAGAUACAAGCAAAAAUUUUUAUCAUCCAACUGUCGCAGACCGGCAGAGUUAUUAGCUGACCCGUUAACUGGAGAAUAUAUCUGUAGUCAAAGGCUGACCAUCGAAGGGCCUAGCCGCUUGAGUCUGGAAUCGGCAGGAAAGAUAAAGUGCGUAUUUCUUGUCUGAAACGAAAAAACUGAAAUCAUUUACGUCAUAUCAUAUCAUCAUACAUCAUACACCAUACAUCAUCAUGCAUCCUACAUCAUACAUCAUCAUAGUAUUAAGGUUCAAAACUAAAGUUGGGGUAUUCGGAUGUUCGGAUGUUCAGAAAGUGACGUCACCGAAAUUUUUUUUCUUCUGACGUCAUCGAUCUAUGGUAAUCAGCUAGCCGAAUUCAUCAGUCUGGAAACAACUGCGCAGUAGAUCGGACGUAUGGGAAUCGCGCGCCGCAAAUUUCGAGUACCGGGUUCUCUACCUCCUGGAUCCUGCGCUCCAGGUCCAGUUUUUAGUGCAACUCGAGUUCUAGGACAAGCGCUCCGUAGUUUCUACGCUCCAGGUCCGUUACCUGGUGAAACUCGACUUUCAGGACAACCGCUCCGUAGCUUCUGUGCUCAAGGUCCGCUACCUGGUGGAACUCGACUUCGGGAAGAAACGCUUCGUACAUUCUGCAUUCCAGGUCUGUUACCUGGUGAAACUCGACUUCCAGGAUGAGUACUCCGUGGUUGUUGUGCUCCAGGUCUGCUAUCUGGUGAAUUUCAACUCUCGGAGGACAAGGAAGACGCGGAGGACAAGGUGGACGAGGAGAACGAGGAUUUCUGCACAACAUAACCCGAGGUGGUUGGCAGUGGUCGUUGGAGAUGGUUGGUGGUGGAUGGAGGUGGUCGAGCUGGACGAGGAGGAGGACGAGGAAGUCGAGGAGAACAAUGUGGACGAGAAGGACGAGGAUUUGUGCUCGUUGAGAGCUGUACUCCACACAAUACAAGAAAUACUGGACAAAGGUGAUGAGAUGAUAGUAGUACCACAAUGGACCAGUAUGCUGGAAGUUGUGAGGUCUCGUCUCAAAACCCUAAAUGGAGCAACUUAUGACACCCUGUCUGGAAAAAUUCCCGUAAAAAAUCGCGCAUAGUGGAGUCGUUCAACACAAUAGACUCAGCACCGCAAAUUCUAUUACUAUCGCUUACUGCAGGCGGAGUAAGCUUAAAUUUGGUUGGCGGCAAUCACUUACUUUUGCUUGAUAUCCGUUGGGAUCGGUAAUUGGAAGCGCAAGCACAGGAUCGAAUUUACAGAGUUGGCCAAACUAAAAGCGUUUACAUUUACAAGAUUAGAGCACUGCAAAACAGAAAGCUAGAAAUAGCGAACGGAGGUUUGACAGGAGCAGGUACUGCAGGUGCCUCCAAGUUAUUGAUGGAUGAUCUCAAAUGUUUGUUCAGCUUGUAAAACUUUUAUUUUGCCAAACGCCUGCACUUUCUGACCUAACUUACGUAAUUUUACAAGAAGUCGAUCGACCCGUUACUUUUCGAUGUAUCUAUGCGCUAAAAACCAAAGUGUUUUGGUACGACUGAAGGAAAUACGCCCUAUUUUAUAAUAUGAGAAAUUCUACAUUAAUCUAUUUUAUAAGUGGAUAUAUUUAUGGUUGAGUUAGUUAUGAGUGUAUUCGAGAAAACUUUGAACAUACGUUAUUGUUUCAAAUCAUUCUUAAGCCUAGUUUUUUAAAGCAGUAAUUAAUUGUUGCAUUAUUACUAAG
rnacentral:misc_RNA from 1 species